GGGGGGGAAAGGACGUGAAAGAUCAGCUAUUGCAUUUACGCAAACAUCUGUCAAUUUUAAUGGUAAAUCAUAUGGCAGAAUGAGGGGGGGCAUUUGAGAAGGGAGACAUAAGAAAUGACAAAAAUAACAAGGAGUGGCCUCGAGGUUGUGAGGAAAAGUUGGUACAGGCUAGCCAAUAACAUCGUAUAGUUAGCGGAUUUGGAACCCCGUAAUUCUGACCAAGGGUGGAACUGAAAGCAUGGGGUGAUAAAAAUGGGGUAUUCAAUCCGCAGCGGAUAAAGAUAGUAGGCAGGAAGAACAGCGGAUGAGAAUAAAAACAAAAUGGACGUGAAAACUGUAUAAGGAACAACACUCUCCAAAUUCGCCAUCCAGUCUAUGCCAGCAAUACAGACUCCAACACAGAGCGAAAUAAGGCUCUUUAUUUCGGUACAAUGAGACAACGCUGGAGAAAAAAGGAGUACAAGAAGUUUACACAAAGAAGUGAAAAUCUGUCACAGGAGGGCAGGUAAAGUGAUGAUAAAGGCGGACGCAGUCGCGAAAAGAACUCGAAUAGGGAUCAGGGCACAAAGGAGAACGAAGAACGUAUA
rnacentral:sRNA from 1 species